rnacentral:rRNA from 1 species
GGGUUGCGGACAGUGUCUGGUGGGUAGUUUGACUGGGGCGGUCUCCUCCUAAAGAGUAACGGAGGAGCACGAAGGUCAGCUAAUCCUGGUCGGACAUCAGGAGGUUAGUGCAAUGGCAUAAGCUGGCUUGACUGCGAGCGUGACGGCGCGAGCAGGUGCGAAAGCAGGUCAUAGUGAUCCGGUGGUUCUGAAUGGAAGGGCCAUCGCUCAACGGAUAAAAGGUACUCCGGGGAUAACAGGCUGAUACCGCCCAAGAGUUCAUAUCGACGGCGGUGUUUGGCACCUCGAUGUCGGCUCAUCACAUCCUGGGGCUGAAGUAGGU